rnacentral:rRNA from 1 species
UGGGGAAUAUUGGACAAUGGGCGAAAGCCUGAUCCAGCCAUGCCGCGUGUGUGAAGAAGGUCUUCGGAUUGUAAAGCACUUUAAGUUGGGAGGAAGGGCAGUAAGCGAAUACCUUGCUGUUUUACGUUACCGACAGAAUAAGCACCGGCUAACUCUGUGCCAGCAGCCGCGGUAAUACAGAGGGUGCAAGCGUUAAUCGGAAUUACUGGGCGUAAAGCGCGCGUAGGUGGUUCGUUAAGUUGAAUGUGAAAGCCCCGGGCUCAACCUGGGAACUGCAUCCAAAACUGGCGAGCUAGAGUAGGGCAGAGGGUGGUGGAAUUUCCUGUGUAGCGGUGAAAUGCGUAGAUAUAGGAAGGAACACCAGUGGCGAAGGCGACCACCUGGGCUCAUACUGACACUGAGGUGCGAAAGCGUGGGGAGCAAACAGG